rnacentral:misc_RNA from 1 species
GGUCUCAAUCAACAAAGAGUCGCUGUAAGUAUUGAAACUCACCUCCUUCAUACUUGUUCAAAAGAAUUUUGUUUUGAUUGUUAAGAGAAUCUUUGUUUGAAUUUUUCAUGAUGGAAUGCCAUAUAUACAUAGGGUACUGCGUUAGAGCCAUUCUGAUCCUGAUUCCUGAGUUCAUGUUCUUUCUUGUAAACCAGCAGAUAAAUGUUGCUUUCUAUAGUUCAUCAUUAUGCUUACACGACAACAAGCUGAGGAUUGUAAGGUUAUUUAUUUUGUCAUGCUCCCAUCAGGAAAAGUCGAAAUUUGGCCACCGUAGCAAUAUUAAGGCAUUUGACACUUUGAUUUUUAUCUAAAAUUCAGCUUAAUGUAGUGGUUGUUCUUUUACAGAUUAGAAUUUUGAUGUAGCUUUACAUAAUUCAGCAACACAAUCAUUUUGCCUACAGAUAUGCAAUGCUGUUGCCUUGGCGUCUUUGCUUAAUGCAACUCUUGUU